CUUGUUAAUUAUUUCAGAAAGAUUCCGCGACUGGAGGUCAGUUCAUGAAUAGUAAUUUAAAUCAUCACAGCUCUGUUGGCGUAAACGUGGGCCAGUCCUCCAGAGGCCUUCGUGGAUGAAGAACACAGGAAACGGUGGAGCCUGGCUUCUGUGUUCGAGAGCCGACCGCCUCGAGCCAAAGCAGGAUCGCAGGAAAAGCCACGAGGAGAGCAGCUCUCAUCUCUGCGUGCCUGCGUACCUCUUUUCAGAAGGAGGCAUUCUGGGCUUCAGGCACAUAGUAAACAAUGAAGUCCAGCUUUAAUGAUGUCAUAAAUCAAGUCAAGAACUUUCAGAAGCAGCAGUCAUCACUGGAGAAGAAAGGGAGAGAUUUCAAAUGAAUAGCAGUAAGUGUUUGAAUGUAUUCAAUCAUUUGAUGUGUUGUAAUAAAUGCAAUCUAGCAAUGAUAAGGACAAGUUUCACUCUAAGGUGUUUGAAAUGUGUAUAAAUGUAACAGUGAUUCAGUGAUUAUUUUUGUUCAUUAGCUUGCUUUGUCAUGUAGCCAGUAGUACUCUGCCAAUAGAUAGUAUUAAUAACGAAUAGAAUCAAGCUGGCUGUGUUGACCAUUGUCUGCAAAAAGUAUAGUCUAUUUUCUUUCAACUUCUAAAAUUAUUGAGCCAUUUCUAGAGAAGACAAGGUAUAAGGUUAUAUUUUUAAGGGACUAUAAGAAUUAGAAUAAUGGCAAGUUGCCCAGCUAGCCGAUACACAACUACACUACAUUGCUUUUUGGUAUGUGAAAACCCUAUGAUAUAUAUAGAAAAUGAAAAUAUGGGGAAACAUGAACAUGAGCAUUUAAAAUCAAUAAAAUAGCAGUGCAAUUCCAAAAGUAAGCAAUUUCUUCUGGUAUUUCCCCAUUUAACUUUAUUCCACACAACCUUACAUGUAAUUUCAUACUUGUAGGUGUCAGAAAUCUACUCUUGAGUAAUGAGAAGUAGUGGGCCAUUGGGGCAGUAGUGUAGUAUAAUGAGUACAAGGAACUGGUCUUGAAAUCUGAAGGUCACAAGUUCAAUUCCCAGGUAGGACACUGCCAUUGUACC